rnacentral:rRNA from 1 species
GAUGAACGCUGGCGGCGUGCCUAAUACAUGCCAGUCGAGCGAACAGACGAGGAGCUUGCUCCUCUGACGUUAGCGGCGGACGGGUGAGUAACACGUGGAUAACCUACCUAUAAGACUGGGAUAACUUCGGGAAACCGGAGCUAAUACCGGAUAAUAUAUUGAACCGCAUGGUUCAAUAGUGAAAGACGGUUUUGCUGUCACUUAUAGAUGGAUCCGCGCCGCAUUAGCUAGUUGGUAAGGUAACGGCUUACCAAGGCAACGAUGCGUAGCCGACCUGAGAGGGGGAUCGGCCACACUGGAACGGAGACACGGUCCAGACUACUACGGGAGGCAGCAGUAGGGAAUCUGCCGCAAUGGGCGAAAGCCUGACGGAGCAACGCCGCGUGAGUGAUGAAGGUCUUCGGAUCGUAAAACUCUGUUAUUAGGGAAGAACAAAUGUGUAAGUAACUAUGCACGUCUUGACGGUACCUAAUCAGAAAGCCACGGCUAACUACGUG